CCUCUCGUAGUUUAGGGGUUAGAACAAUGGUGCAUAAAGCCAAAGGUCCCGGGUUCGAUUCCCGGCGGGGGUA
rnacentral:tRNA from 1 species